rnacentral:misc_RNA from 1 species
UACGAAGGGGGCUAGCGUUGUUCGGAUUUACUGGGCGUAAAGGGCACGCAGGCGGCUUAUCAAGUUGGGGGUGAAAUCCCGGGGCUUAACCCCGGAACUGCCUCCAAAACUGGUAAGCUAGAGAUCGAGAGAGGUGAGUGGAAUUCCUAGUGUAGAGGUGAAAUUCGUAGAUAUUAGGAGGAACACCAGUGGCGAAGGCGGCUCACUGGCUCGAUACUGACGCUCAUGUGCGAAAGCGUGGGGAGCAAACAGG